rnacentral:other from 1 species
UGACCCCUGCUGUGUUAGUGAUUGGAAGAAAAUCUUUGACUCAAUAUUUUUUGUACAUAUGUGUCUUCCCUGAUUUUGGUGAGCAUGUUUUGCUAUUGCAAAAAAGCCUAAAGAAAUUACAAGACCUGAUAUAAUGAACGAUUAGUUCAAAGACUUUCAACACUGCAUUUUGCGGGGGUCUU